rnacentral:rRNA from 1 species
GAUGAACGCUGGCGGCGUGCCUAAUACAUGCAAGUCGAGCGAACGGACGAGAAGCUUGCUUUUCUGAUGUUAGCGGCGGACGGGUGAGUAACACGUGGAUAACCUACCUAUAAGACUGUGAUAACUUCGGGAAACCGGAGCUAAUACCGGAUAAUAUUUUGAACCGCAUGGUUCAAAAGUGAAAGACGGUCUUGCUGUCACUUAUAGAUGGAUCCGCGCUGCAUUAGCUAGUUGGUAAGGUAACGGCUUACCAAGGCAACGAUGCAUAGCCGACCUGAGAGGGUGAUCGGCCACACUGGAACUGAGACACGGUCCAGACUCCUACGGGAGGCAGCAGUAGGGAAUCUUCCGCAAUGGGCGAAAGCCUGACGGAGCAACGCCGCGUGAGUGAUGAAGGUCUUCGGAUCGUAAAACUCUGUUAUUAGGGAAGAACAUAUGUGUAAGUAACUGUGCACAUCUUGACGGUACCUAAUCAGAAAGCCACGGCUAACUACGUG